GAGAUAGCAAAAUUUGUUCAUCACAAAGCAGACAAGUUACUAGCAGGUGAAGAGGAGCAUGCUGUCACUAGCAGGUGUGUAGAUGAUGCUGAUGUAACCAGCAGGUGUGUAGAUGAUGCUGAUGUCACUGGCAGGUGUGUAGAUGAUGCUGAUGUCACUAGCAGGUGUGUAGAUGAUGCUGAUGUCACUAGCAGGUGUGUAGAUGAUGCUGAUGUCACUAGCAGGUGUGUAGAUGAUGAUGAUGUCACUAGCAGGUGUGUAGAUGAUGCUGAUGUCACUAGCAAGUGUGUAGAUGAUGCUGAUGUCACUAACAGGUGUGUAGAUGAUGCUGAUGUCACUAGCAGGUGUGUAGAUGAUGCUGAUGUCACUAGCAGGUGAGUAGAUGAUGCUGAUGUCACUAGCAGGUGUGUAGAUGAUGCUGAUGUCACUAGCAGGUGAGGAGCAGCAUGAUGUCACUAGCAGGUGUGUAGAUGAUGCUGACGUCACUAGCAGGUGAGUAAAUGAUGCUGAUGUCACUAGCAGGUGAGUAGAUGAUGCUGAUGUCACUAGCAGGUGUGUAGAUGAUGCUGAUGUCACUAGCAGGUGAGUAGAUGAUGCUGAUGUCACUAGCAGGUGUGUAGAUGAUGCUGAUGUCACUAGCAGGUGAGUAGAUGAUGCUGAUGUCACUAGCAGGUGAGUAGAUGAUGCUGAUGUCACUAGCAGGUGUGUAGAUGAUGCUGACGUCACUAGCAGGUGAGUAAAUGAUGCUGAUGUCACUAGCAGGUGAGUAGAUGAUGCUGAUGUCACUAACAGGUGUGUAGAUGAUGCUGAUGUCACUAGCAGGUGAGUAAAUGAUGCUGAUGUCACUAGCAGGUGAGUAGAUGAUGCUGAUGUCACUAACAGGUGUGUAGAUGAUGCUGAUGUCACUAGCAGCCUUUCCCUAUUUGGCGCCUAAACUCUGGAAUAACCUACCUAACAUUGUUCGGGAGGCAGACACACUCUUGCAGUUUAAAUCUAGAUUAAAGACCCAUCUCUUUAACCUGGCAUACACAUAACAUACUAAUAUGCUUUUAAUAACCAAAUCCGUUAAAGGGUUUUUAGGCUGCAUUAAUUAGGUAAACCGGAAUCGCUUCACAUAACUCCGUA
rnacentral:lncRNA from 1 species